rnacentral:rRNA from 1 species
GACGAACGCUGGCGGCGUGCUUAACACAUGCAAGUCGAACGGAAAGGCCCUGCUUUUGUGGGGUGCUCGAGUGGCGAACGGGUGAGUAACACGUGAGUAACCUGCCCUUGACUUUGGGAUAACUUCAGGAAACUGGGGCUAAUACCGGAUAGGAGCUCCUGCUGCAUGGUGGGGGUUGGAAAGUUUCGGCGGUUGGGGAUGGACUCGCGGCUUAUCAGCUUGUUGGUGGGGUAGUGGCUUACCAAGGCUUUGACGGGUAGCCGGCCUGAGAGGGUGACCGGCCACAUUGGGACUGAGAUACGGACCAGACUCCUACGGGAGGCAGCAGUGGGGAAUAUUGCACAAUGGGCGGACGCCUGAUGCAGCAACGCCGCGUGCGGGAUGACGGCCUUCGGGUUGUAAACCGCUUUCGCCUGUGACGAAGCGUGAGUGACGGUAAUGGGUAAAGAAGCACCGGCUAACUACGUG